GGAGCGGGGAGAUUAUUGUGGCCUAGAGCAUCCGUAGCCGGCUGAGCAAGUCCCCUGUUAAAUCCAGCGAUUCAAUCGUUGGCUCGCGGGGGAUACUGCUCGGCUAGGGGGCGAGAGAGGCCGUCGGUAUUCCCGGGGUAGGGGUGAAAUCCUAUAAUCCCGGGAGGACCACCAGUGGCGAAGGCUGUCGGCUAGAACGCGCUCGACGGUGAGGGAUGAAAGCUGGGGGAGCGAACCGGAUUAGAUACCCGGGUAGUCCCAGCUGUAAACGAUGCAGGCUAGGUGUUAGGGCGGCCACGUGCCGCUCUAGUGCCGCAGGGAAGCUGUUAAGCCUGCCGCCUGGGGAGUACGGCCGCAAGGCUGAAACUUAAAGGAAUUGGCGGGGGGAGCACAAC
rnacentral:rRNA from 1 species